GGUGUCGGGUCGCCGCGGCCGCGAAGGAGGGGCUGGGAGGGAGAGGAGGGGGCGCGGGUGUGGGGCAGCGCCCGGGCGGCGGAGCGGGGCCUGCGAGGAGCGGCCGCCCCAGGGGCCGGAGGGCGGUCACCUUGAGGGCCGGGGCGGGGCGCGGCCGCGGCCGUGAAAGCCGAUGCCGUCUGCGGAGGGGGCCGGCGCGGUGAGCGGCCGCCUCGGCGGGCGGGGCCGCCUUCCUCGGCGCGGCUCUUGGGAGCCUUUCAAAUCAGGGUCAAGUCGGGUUGGGGAGAUUAAGGGCACGGAGAAGCCGGCGCCAGAAACGGGCAGCACCGCAGUUAGUUCCAGCCCAGGAGCCUGUUAUGAGGUCCUUUUGUGUUGGACAUCAGGUGUUCUGAAAAACCGAAGGGAUGAUCCAGGUUUCAGAGUUGGAUUCUGAGCCCACUGCUAGAGAUCUGCUCCCUACAGAUACUGCAGAACUGCCAAAGACGUCUUUGAUAGAUUUGUGUCCUGAGUUGUUGGGCUACUUCUGUGUAUUGUUCCCACUGCCAAAGAAUGCAACGAAGUUCUGCCUGCAUAGAAAGCAAAUACUGCAAGUAAUUCAGCCUGUUGACGGGAAGAUCAGCAUGUGGGAAAUAUGUAAUGAAAUGUUCACCUUGAUAAAACUUUGAAAUGAAGUGAGAAUAGGUUGUUUUGUCUUUUUUUUGUUGUUUGUCUGUUUGUUUUUUCCCCCCUGUUGUAGGGUGGUGGGGUUUUUUUGAGGGAUGUUGGUUUCUGUCUGUUGACAAACUUUCUAAAGUUGAAAUAGUACAAGGAGCAGAUACGGUUAGUAAAGUUGUGAGGUAAGAGAUCAACUUUAUAAAAUAUAUAACUCCGAAACAGGAAUUCUGAGCACAUGUAAGACAAAAGCUAUGAAAUACAAGUGGUGUGCAAGAAACU